UAACUAUUUAAAUGAUCCAGUGAAAGAUUAAACAAAACAGAAAAUAUAUAUAAUCUCUUAGAUAGGCUUUUACAAAAGUGUUUAAAAAUUAAUGCGUAAGCCCUUGUUAUAAAAAAAUAAGUUUGUUGCUGGGUUUUAACAACGAGCGUGUGAUCUAUUGGUAAAGACUAAACGUUGUGUAAUGUAUCAUUGUGGUUCAAGUCCUACAAAAAGUCAUUUUGUGACUUGGCAGGCGUCGAAUAUUAAUUAGUUAAUUACACAAGCUAGAGAAAAAAGGUUAAGGUGAAUAAGUUGCGUUAGGCUUCCAACGAGCCAGUGGUCUAGCGGUAAAGACGACUUUUUCUGUAAUUAAUUUGCCAUUGUGGUUGAAGUCCUACAAAAGUCAUUUUGUGACUUGAAAUUUGUCGGUUAUUAAUUACACAAGCCAGAGAAAAAGGAUUAAGGUGAAUAAGUUACGUAAUAUCAUGAUUGCGUGUAUUCCCUUUGUUCUCGCAGGGCAAUUAAUAACUAAUACACCUCAUUAUAUUCAUAUUUUCU
rnacentral:lncRNA from 1 species